GCCUGGUUGGCUCAGUGGUUGAGCAUCUGCCUUUAGCUCAGAUCAUGAUCCUGGAGUCCUGGGAUUGAGUUCCACAUUGGGCU
rnacentral:tRNA from 1 species